UCAAAAUUAUGGAAAAGUAUUAUUGGCCUAAUAUCAGCGGAGAUAUUAUAAAAUGGGUAAAACAAUGCAAGCGUUGUCAAACAUCUGGUCAGCUGAUUUCUGUUUCAGAGCCUUUACAUUCAAUAAAGACUACGCGAGUAUGGGAAAUUUUUG